UCAGCCUUUUAUUAGACCAAUCAGGUGCCUUGGGCAGGCAAGGUGAAACAACACAUCUUUACAUAGUUAAACAAAUGCAACAUAAACAAAUGUAACACAUCUUUACUUAGCUAAACACUCUAUUCCACAAGAUGUAUGUUCGUGCUUUCUGGGGCUGGGAGAGGGUGUCAGAGCUACAUAGUGAGACUUGUCUCAAAAACAAACAAACAGACUUCUGGAACUGAAGUUAUAAGCAUUGUAAGUUUCUGGAAAAUGGGUGCUGGAAAUCAAGCUUGGGUCCUCUGGAAAGGGCCAUCUCUCCAGCUCAUGUGGAUUCAUUUUGGCUUCAUAUUAAAUAACAUCAUAGGGUGUUAACUACACAAGGGCUGUAGAGGAUUUCCAGACUCUCUGGAUGGCUCUCGCUGGAGACAUUAUUUGUUGGAUGAUCUGAAGCUUUGGUAAGCCUUUGUGACACAAACAGCAUUUUGUCUUUCCCCUCACAAUUCAACAAUCACAUCUGAAGUGACACUCUCAGCCAUGUGGGCACCCUCAGAUAGAAGGUGUGUGUCCAGGGGAGUGAGGUGGAGUGAGUCUGGGCGUAAGGGAGGGACAGAGUUGGGGAGGAAGGUGCUUGGUGACGCUAGCCUGGCAGCUGCGACAGCUCUUAGUGGUGCACACCUUCUUCUCCAAAAGGCCCCUGUUCCUGUUCUGCCAGUGAACACUGAGUGCCUCUGCCCAGAGAGUGUGGACCCAAGCAGGUAUGGUCAAGGUUAGAGGCUGACUACAGACACUCUGGGCAGUCAUCAGGGCAGAGAGUAAAUGGGCAAGUGAGAUCUAGUGUCACUGCUAGGGAAAGCUGAGCAUUUCCAUGGGGGCUGCGGAUCCAGACUCACUGUCACGGUGACCCAGGCCUGAAGAACUGCACGGGUUUUAGAGAAACCCCCACCUCUUACCCUCCUAUCACUUAGCAUGCUGGGGGCUUCCCGGUUUUCUCUUUUUCUUUCUAUGUAUGACAUCCCAUCUUAUUAGAGACAUUGUCAACCCCACCCAGUCUCAGAGCUGUUCCCAUGCAGAGGGAUCAGUAUACGCCACCUGUCCUGUAGUUUUUCUUGCUUUAUUUCUGUCUGUGGCCAAGAUUUUCAGGAGGUCUCCCCCAUCAGUCAGACCUGAUCUCUAACCUUGAAGAAAGACAGCCUUUCAUUUCCUGUGGAAACAAAAAAAUGUAACUUCUCCCCCAAUGCAGUACAGUUUCUGAAUUUCAUUUUGCAUUCCAUAUGAAACAACUGCUUCCUUAAAUCUUCUCAAAUCUAACAUUUCUACAGGAUUCCAAUGAACUUUUACAUAAUCUU